rnacentral:tRNA from 1 species
UCCCUGGUGGCCUAGUGGGUUAAGGAUCUGGCAUUGUCACUGCUGUGCCGUGGGUUCUAUUCCUGUCCUGGGAA